UGGAGAAAGAGAAAGGAGAGAAACCUGAAAUGUCAGUGUGCCUUUAAUUUGCCUGUUGAUUUGUGAACACAACCUGACUUCUCUUAGACUCCUUUAGUCUAGACUCGUCUAGUUUACAGCAGUCCAGUGGGGUUAUUUGUUCAUCCAGAGGGACAAAUCUGCCUCAAGGAAAUGACUGAACUGCCAAAAAAUCUUUAUGUAGACAAACUGCUGGCAAACAUCUGCCCUCUUUGGAGAGAAAAGAUAACUUUCCCACGCAGCUCGUAAAAAAUAGCCACAUUCAUACUCACAGAUCAAGUUUAUGUUGUUUACUGUAGCCAAUAAGAACUGGCAACAGUGCACAUAUUUUCUUUAUCUUUAACCUUUCUAUCAGUGAAGUUGGUUUUAAAUUGGAUAUGCAACAGACAUUGACUCCGGAUCCCGCAGUGUCAUCACCCCAUGUUGGUAGGAUCGUCAAUAAAUGACUAUUUAAAUAACACAAUGACUAAGUUUUUUUCAAUACCUUCACGGUGAAUGAAAAUAUGUACUAAAUUGGUCUCAUGUUGCACUUAUUUUGAUUGCUAGUGUGUAAUUCCUUUUAUUUUGAUAGAAAAUAAUAAUCAUGAUUUUUCAAUAUCUUCCUUGUAAUGUGACCCAGUGAGUCAUGUAUCAGUCACCUUCAGCAAUUAUGGACAAAUGUCUUUUUGCCCCACCUUAAAUUCUUAGAAAUUAAGCUAUAUUUCCAGGUAGAAAUGUGGGACUUUUAUUUUGGAAAUUCUCCAAAUUAAUACAGUUAAAAUGCUUGAUUUUGAGUCUGUAGUUCAAGUUGUUCUAAACUUAAAUGUAUCAGUCAAAGUAAGGAAUUAUUUUUUUUAUUUUUUUCCAGCAGUCAAAGAAUAUAGAAUAUAGAAUUUAGAAUAUAGAAUAUAGAAUAUAGAACAUAGAAUAUAGAAUUUAGUUUCCACACAAUUUUGUGUUUUUUUAUUUAUUUAUAAGGGAUACUUCCUGUAAAUUGUAUCAAAUCAAUGUUAUUUCUGUAUUUUUUUUUAUAUGACAUUCAUGUAGUUCUUCAUUGUCACAAAUGUCUUUCCUCUCUCUUAAGACUGUUUUGUCUUGAUCAACAGCGCAGGUGACGUCAGUGCUGGGAAACACACAGUAACUUCGGCUAAGCUCUGUCAAAAUUGGGAAAAGUUUCCAAGGAAGCAGUUCAUAACACAAAAGGUUAGGAAAAUGACAGAAAAAACACAGAAUUAAAGUAUAUUUUCUCAC